GCAGCGGUGUUUCUGAAACAAAUCACCCGCCUUGAUAACUCACCUUAAAAAUACGGGACAAAGCGCGUCCCGGAUCAAUUCAAUACGUAACGCGUAUUUUACUGCCCAAAUACGGGACGAUUACGGAUUUCAAGGAACGAUCUGGUGGAAACCAGUGAGAGCUGGUGAUGGAUUCAGAUUCCACCUCGGGAUUCUGAGGAAGUUGUGCCGGUGCAGAGUCGGGCAGGAUCCAGAUGAUGUUGGGCUGAGGCCGACCUCCCUUCGCUGAGCAGAGAACCUGCAGGAUGUCCUGUCCAUUCUUCUGUUUCACUUCCAUCUUCAUACUGAUGCUGGGAGGAACUGUGAAGAAAGAUCUCACAGUGAGGGGAUCCCGAUUAUUAAUAGAACAUUAAAUAAUGACAUUAAAUUU